UUGGCGAACGGGUGAGUAACGCGUGAGUAACCUGCCCUGGAGUGGGGGACAACAGUUGGAAACGACUGCUAAUACCGCAUAAGCCCACGGCCCGGCAUCGGGCUGCGGGAAAAGGAUUUAUUCGCUUCAGGAUGGACUCGCGUCCAAUUAGCUGGUUGGUGAGGUAACGGCCCACCAAGGCGACGAUUGGUAGCCGGACUGAGAGGUUGAACGGCCACAUUGGGACUGAGACACGGCCCAG
rnacentral:rRNA from 1 species